GACGAGUGUUACUGGCUACACCAAUCAAGUUUCUUCGAGCUCGCAUUCAUGGAGGUGUUCGACAAAUUCUUGUCAAGUGGAAUGAAGAAUCGGAGACUGCGACAUGGGAAGAUGCAGAGAAGUUAUGUGAAGCAUUUCCAGAGAUAGAGCUUGAGGACAAGCUCCUUGUCGAGGAGGAGAGUAAUGAUACACGUUAUGGUAUCACGUACCAGAGAAAGAAGACUAGAAACUAGUAUUUUCCUUAAAGCAUUAUAGACGUUUUGGUAUUUUUCCUAUUUUAGAUAUUAAGUAGUUUUUCCUUUCUUACUUAGGGUUAUGAUUUGUAAUAGCCCUAUAUAAACAUAUCUAAUUAUCAAUAAAGGAUCAUCUUCCAGCAUUAACCUUAUUCUCAAGAGAGACUAGGGUUAAAGGAAGCUUUGCAAUCAAGUUAUCUCUACUCUUACCUGUAAUCACGGCACCAGUUACGCGAGCACAAGCGGCUCGUAUCAAAAAAUAAAUGUAACAACGUUCUGACAUAUUGCCGUACGUGAGCAGAAAGGGAACACUAAAGAAACAUGUUCCAAAUUGUGGGAAAGAAGGAAAUAAAGAGCUCAAGAAAAUUGCUGACAGCUCUGAGGAGUUGAUUUUCACCACUGCUAUUGAUCAGGUGGAUUAUUUUCGCAAAAUAUCCUUCAAGAUGCAGACUAUGAACGAGGGUGACUAACUCAAAUUGCGUUUGAAGUUUUGAGAAACUUUCAUAACUUAAUAAUGAGCACAGCUUGAAGGUCUUGAAACUGAUUGGACCGUACUAUAUAAACUACGGAUAACUAUUGUAAAGAAUAAAUUUGAUAAGAUUAUACCAAAGAUUAAGAAUGAAAGAUGAUUCAACUGCAGAUGCUAGAUAUUA